AGUGAACGCUGGCGGUAGGCCUAACACAUGCAAGUCGAACGGCAGCACAGUAAGAGCUUGCUCUUACUGGUGGCGAGUGGCGGACGGGUGAGGCAUACAUCGGAAUCUACUUUUUCGUGGGGGAUAACGUAGGGAAACUUACGCUAAUACCUCAUACGACCUACGGGUGAAAGCAGGGGAUCUUCGGACCUUGCGCGAUUGAAUUAGCCGAUUUCGGAUUAGCUAGUUGGCGGGGUAAAGGCCCACCAAGGCGACGAUCCGUAGCUGGUCUGAGAGGAUGAUCAGCCACACUGGAACUGAGACACGGUCCAGACUCCUACGGGAGGCAGCAGUGGGGAAUAUUGGACAAUGGGCGAAAGCCUGAUCCAGCCAUACCGCGUGGGUGAAGAAGGCCUUCGGGUUGUAAAGCCCUUUUGUUGGGAAAGAAAAGCAGCAGGUUAAUACCCCGCUGUUCUGACGGUACCCAAAGAAUAAGCACCGGCUAACUUCGUG
rnacentral:rRNA from 1 species